rnacentral:rRNA from 1 species
GAUGAACGCUAGCGAUAGGCUUAACACAUGCAAGUCGAGGGGCAGCAUGGUCUUAGCUUGCUAAGACUGAUGGCGACCGGCGCACGGGUGCGUAACGCGUAUGCAACUUGCCUCACAGAGGGGGAUAACCCGUCGAAAGACGGACUAAUACCGCGUACACUUGGGAUAGUGCAUCCUGACCCAAGGAAAUGAAAUUCGCUGUGAGAUAGGCAUGCGUCCCAUUAGCUAGUUGGUGAGGUAACGGCUCACCAAGGCGACGAUGGGUAGGGGGACUGAGAGGUUGAACCCCCACACUGGUACUGAGACACGGACCAGACUCCUACGGGAGGCAGCAGUGAGGAAUAUUGGUCAAUGGGCGAGAGCCUGAACCAGCCAAGUCGCGUGAAGGAUGACUGUCUUAUGGAUUGUAAACUUCUUUUAUACGGGAAUAACAAGAGCCACGUGUGGCUCCCUGCAUGUACCGUAUGAAUAAGCAUCGGCUAACUCCGUG